ACUCCUACGGGAGGCAGCAGUGGGGAAUAUUGCACAAUGGGCGCAAGCCUGAUGCAGCAACGCCGUGUGAGUGAAGAAGGUUUUCGGAUCGUAAAACUACUGUCCUAAGGGAAGAAACAAAUGACGGUACCUUAGGAGGAAGCCCCGGCUAACUACGUGCCAGCAGCCGCGGUAAUACGUAGGGGCGAAGCGUUAUCCGGAAUCACUGGGCGUAAAGGGUGCGUAGGCGGCUUGACAAGCCAGGGGUGAAAGGCAUUGGCUCAACCAAUGUAAGCCUUUGGAACUGUUAAGCUUGAGUGCAGGAGAGGUAAGUGGAAUUCCUAGUGUAGAGGUGAAAUUCGUAGAUAUUAGGAGGAACACCAGUGGCGAAGGCGACUUACUGGACUGUAACUGACGCUGAUGCACGAAAAGCGUGGGUAGCGAACAGGAUUAGAUACCCUGGUAGGAUAGCG
rnacentral:rRNA from 1 species